AUGAACGCUGGCGGCGUGCCUAAUACAUGCAAGUCGAGCGAACGGACGAGAAGCUUGCUUCUCUGAUGUUAGCGGCGGACGGGUGAGUAACACGUGGAUAACCUACCUAUAAGACUGGGAUAACUUCGGGAAACCGGAGCUAAUACCGGAUGAUAUUUUGAACCGCAUGGUUCAAAAGUGAAAGACGGUCUUGCUGUCACUUAUAGAUGGAUCCGCGCUGCAUUAGCUAGUUGGUAAGGUAACGGCUUACCAAGGCAACGAUGCAUAGCCGACCUGAAAGGGUGAUCGGCCACACUGGAACUGAGACACGGUCCAGACUCCUACGGGAGGCAGCAGUAGGGAAUCUUCCGCAAUGGGCGAAAGCCUGACGGAGCAACGCCGCGUGAGUGAUGAAGGUCUUCGGAUCGUAAAACUCUGUUAUUAGGGAAGAACAUAUGUGUAAGUAACUGUGCACAUCUUGACGGUACCUAAUCAGAAAGCCACGGCUAACUACGUG
rnacentral:rRNA from 1 species